AGAGAUGUCUCCAUCAUGGUUUGUAGAAUCUCAAGAAGGGAUUUUGUGUAGAGGAAGCUUUUGCCAGCGGACAAAAGAGUGAAAGGUCUUCUCUGCAUGGAAUAUAAUGUGUAGAAAGCAUGGGCACUCCUCACACACAUUACAACAGUAUAUCCUAUAGCAUAUGCCUUGUCAUCAAGCACCCUCUCCUAUCUUCUACCCCGAAAAAAAUGGAAAAAAAAAAGAAACCUAGAAAUAAUAAGAGCUUCUCUAGGCCUAUAUAUAUAUAUAUGAAUCUCUCCAAUGGGUCUUUCAAAUAAUACGUUUUGUUAGGAGUUUUGAAAUAUAUUGGGUUCGUAUAAUGUCUGUUCACAUAGGUGAGCGAACUCGUUGUAGGGCUUCUCUCCUUUGGCAGGCAAUCCAUGGAAACAAAACUAAUCGGAAGAACGAUCAAGAAUGACCCGCCAAAGGAGAGUUGCCCUCCAACUACUUCAGCUCUAUCAUUGCCGAAGAAAUGCUUGCAUUUUCAUAAGUAAGCUAAGCAAUUCAGAGCUUAGGGUUCAAAACUCAUAAUUCACACUAUUGGAGAGGAGAUAGUUUUGACGCCGUAGGAAGGCAAGAACCACGAUUGAGAUGAACUUAGAGCGAUUGAUUAUCCCGUUAGCUUUCGCAGUUACAAGGAGUAAUUAUCAUAUAACUUCAUAGCCGAGACUCUGAUGGCUUUUUGGCAGCAAAAACUGAGCGUGCAUACAAGUUGAUGUUUUGAAUUUAUUUGGAGGAAUCAGAAUAAAAAGACCGAUAGUAGUUUAACCCAAGACCCCAUCCAUUGCUUCUAAUUCACCAUUAUUAGGAGUCUAGUUAUAUAGUAGCCCUAAUAUUAUUGUAA